rnacentral:misc_RNA from 1 species
GAUGAAGUACGCAGCGAAAUGCGAUACGUAAUGUGAAUUGCAGAAUUCAGUGAAUCAUCGAAUCUUUGAACGCAUAUUGCGCUCUCUGGUAUUCCGGAGAGCAUGCUUGUUUGAGUAUCAGUAAACACCUCAACUUCCAUAUCUUUUUUGAAAUGGGAGUUGGACUUGAGUGAUCCCAACGCUUUUCCUCACCGAAAAGUGGCGGGUUACUUGAAAUGCAGGUGCAGCUGGACUUUUCUCUGAGCUAUAAGCAUAUCUAUUUAGUCUGCCUAAAAAACAGAUUAUUACCUUUGCUGCAGCUAACAUAAAGGAGAUUAGUUCUUGUGCUGACUGAUGCAGGAUUCACAAAGACAGGCUUCGGCCGACUUUGUAAACUCGAUCUCAAAUCAAGUAAGACUACCCGCUGAACUUAAGCAUAUCAAUAAGCGGAGGA